GGUAGUUGUCUAGUCUCCUUUAUGGCUCUAAUCUGAUAGUGGGGUGGUAGAAGUCUAGUCUCCUUUAUGCCUCUAAUCUGAAAGUGGUAGAUGUCUAUUCUCCAUUAUGGCUCUAAUCUGAUAGUGGUAGAUCUCUCCAGGAACAGGGUUGGAGUUAAAACCUACAGGAGGGUAUUUCUCAAGGAACAGGGUUGGAGUUAAAACCUACAGGAGGGUAUCUCUCCAGGAACAAGGUUGGAGAGCCCUGCUCUACCGUGACCCUUCAGUCUUCCGAUCAUGCUCUGACUCCUAACCCUGUAGUCUUCCGAUCAUACUCUGACUCCUAACCCUGUAGUCUUUAUUCUGCAUUAGGAUCCCCAUUAGCUGACACCAUGACAACAGCUAGUCUACCAGGGGUUCAUACACACAAGAGAUAUUAGACUAUAGAGUUGGCAUUAGAAGGCCGUCACACCGUUGACAGCACGAGACAAGAGGAGACAACAGUAAAAUAACUGACAUGGCACACAUUUACAAUUCAAUUUCUUUGACCUCUAACCUCAGCAAAACCUGGAACAGAGGUCAUCUCAGCAGGAGGGGGGAGCUGCGGAGAGGAGGGAGAAAGGUCUUCCCACCGAACCACCAGACCCCAAGAAGAGGAAGUACAGCCCCCUUGAUGGUACGGCUGGCAGUAGUCUAGGUGCCAGGAUGCUGCAGGGAGGGGUGAAGAAUGGCCUGCUGCUACGUAACAUGCAAGUGGACUGACCUCUAGCCCCUGACUGUUAACCCGCUCCAGGGUGAAGUUUCCCCUAGGUCUGUACAGAUCUUGGAUCAGCUUCCCCUUCCUGAAUCCAAAUCUAUUUUUUAAUAAACACUUUUUACCCCUUUUUCUUGGUGUUCGUUUCGUCGCUGCAACUCCCGUACGGACUCUGGAGAGGCGAAGGUCGAGAGCCACGCGUCCUCUGAAACACGACCCUGCCAAGCCGCACUGCUUCUUGACACAAUGUCCACUUAACCCGGAAGCCAGCCGCACCAAUGUGUCGGAGGAAACACCAUAACACCUGGUCAGCGUGCACUGCGCCCGGACCGCCACAGGAGUCGCUUGAGCACGAUGAGACGAGGACAUCCCCGAACCCGGACGACACUGGGCCAAUAGUGCGACGCCUCAUUGGCCUGCGACACAGCCUUGGAUCGAACCCAGGUCUGUCGUGACGCCUUAGACCGUUGCACCACUCAGGAGGCACCCGAAUCCUAAGUGGGAAAAUCUACAGACAGAUACUUAAAUCUGAUCGCUGCAGAGGAGGCCGAUAUAUGACAUCAACGCAAUAGGAGAUCAAUAUGGAGCUGACCAACAGCGGCACGCCACGGAUGAUAGAGAAAGGACAUUUUUGAUAACCACUGGCAUAAACGAUUCUCAACAUAUAUAUUAUAAGCAAUUUUACAAUGGAAAUAGGCCUUUAAUCUGUUACAUUGACUCUACACUAAGAUAUUUGAUGUGGAAACAAGUCUGUGACUUGGCGAACGGUAAUCCUUAAUAAGAGCAUUUACCCGUGAUGUGGUGGUCCCCAGAACGGAAAAGGUUGGGAACCACUGGUCUAUACAUCACCUUUUGUUUGAUUGGAAACAGUAUGUAAUGCUGUGAGCGUUUUAUAUUAAUACUUCUUUAAAUACAUUUCUGCUGUACUAGUGUCUGUGUUUUCAUGGGCUCCACUCCAGUUCCCAGCAGCUAACCUGGGCUUAUGGUCACCCGAGA
ensembl:lncRNA